UACGUAGGGUGCGAGCGUUAAUCGGAAUUACUGGGCGUAAAGCGUGCGCAGGCGGUGAUGUAAGACAGAUGUGAAAUCCCCGGGCUCAACCUGGGACCUGCAUUUGUGACUGCAUCGCUGGAGUGCGGCAGAGGGGGAUGGAAUUCCGCGUGUAGCAGUGAAAUGCGUAGAUAUGCGGAGGAACACCGAUGGCGAAGGCAAUCCCCUGGGCCUGCACUGACGCUCAUGCACGAAAGCGUGGGGAGCAGACAGG
rnacentral:rRNA from 1 species